rnacentral:tRNA from 1 species
GCCCCGUUGGUCUAACGGCGAGGACGUCAGGCUUUCACCCUGAAGGCGACCGGUUCGACUCCGGCACGGGGCG